GUGCCAGACUCCUACGGGAGGCAGCAGUGGGGAAUAUUGCACAAUGGGGGAAACCCUGAUGCAGCAACGCCGCGUGAGUGAAGAAGUCAUUCGUGAUGUAAAGCUCUAUCAGCAGGGAAGAAAAUGACGGUACCUGAUUAAGAAGCCCCGGCUAACUACGUGCCAGCAGCCGCGGUAAUACGUAGGGGGCAAGCAUUAUCCGGAUUUACUGGGUGUAAAGGGAGCGUAGACGGUUAUGUAAGUCUGGAGUGAAAGCCCGGGGCCCAACCCCGGGACUGCUUUGGAAACUGUGUAACUGGAGUACAGGAGGGGCAGGCGGAAUUCCUAGUGUAGCGGUGAAAUGCGUAGAUAUUAGGAGGAACACCAGUGGCGAAGGCGGCCUGCUGGACAGAAACUGACGUUGAGGCUCGAAAGCGUGGGGAGCAAACAGGAUUAGAUACCCCCGUACU
rnacentral:rRNA from 1 species